UCAUUGGAAACUGGAAAGCACAAAGCAAAACCGUCUAUGGGAAGUCAACUGGUUUGUAACAUUUGUUCGAUUUGAUUCUAUCAAAUUUGAACAAGAUCAAGCUCCGGUGCCGCCUAAGCUUCAGCAUUCAGGUUGCUGCUACAGUUGAAACGGGCCAUUAGUCAACCUCGCAUCAAUUAGUCAAAAUCAUCGCCCUUUCGAACAGAGAAAAGUGGGGAUUAGUUAACCUACCAUAAUCACUUGAGUUAUCAUUAUAGAGGCAGAGUGAAGAUGUUCCUAGAGUCUUGGGAUUCAGAGGAGGUCUGGGUAAAGCAAUGAAGAUGUUUCUUGAAUCAGCUUGUUUAGGAAUACAUUUUUAGUCACUUUGGAAGACAAUGUGUGGAUGUUUCUUAAUUCUUCUCGAAAUUUUAGUUUAUUACUGAAAGUCAGUGACCUUUUGUCUUAUGAAAAGUUCAUCGACAGAAAGGCCCUUUGUUGAUGUAAAGUGUCAAGCUUCUUAAUUGAAGUGGUGAGCUUGUUUUCUAUAUCAGGUAUGGUUCCUAUAUCAUAGUCAUAGUUUUCUUGCUGUUUUGGCUGCAAUAAUGGAUGCGUUUGUCAUGUGAAAUACUAAAAGUGGAGGCAGCUGCAGCUAGGCAGGGGCCCUGGCUUCCCCUCGGCUCUUGAAAGCUUGGCUUGGCUUUUUCUCAAACAAAAAGAGUAAAUUCUGACUUUGUCUCGUCUAGGAAAUUACGAAAUGGCGCCACCAUAUGAAAGUUUCUAAUUGGCAUAGAAUAGUUUACAAUCAUUUGCCACCCUUUUGAAGUUCUAACCUAAUUAUUAAUUUUAUUUCUUUUACUAUUUUUAACGUUGGUGUUAUCAAAAGAAAUAAAUAUGUUGACACUAAUUAUUGCACCAGGACUUAUGAAAGAAAUUUAAGUUGCUCUAUGGUGUAUACAAAUCAAAUUUACAUGUAACUUUUCUUUUUUUUUCCUUCUUUUAAUUCCUAUAUUUCACUUUUUAGUUUUCAACAUUUUUAUAUGCUUUAUUCUAUUUUAAUGAAACUUAUAUUAGUUAGAUUUUAAUUUAUAUUUAAUCAUUCAUAUGCCCAAUAAGAUUAUUAGCUUUGAAGUCAAUAUUAGUUUACUUAUCAAAAGAAAUUCAUGUUUUUUCCGCAAUUACAUUGUUAUUUUUUUACAUUGCAAUUACAUCAGUGUUUCUUUGAAUUUUGUAUACUUUCUAUGAUAUUUUGCAAUGAGAAAGGUUCUUUUAACUAUUUUUUUUUCUCAUUUUAAUUAUAAUUAAGUACAUAUGGUUUUUAUACCGACCCCGGCCAAAAAUUUCUAUGGUAUAGGACACAGUCUUGAGUUAGAAAAUUGUUGUCUUUUAUUUCCUUUAUGUAAUUAGAAACAUCAGUAUCAUGAAGAAUCUCUGUCAUCAUCGAGAAAAUCAUAGUCUAUGUCUUAUUUCCAAGGCGGAAGGAACUCCACAAACGUGAGAAUCGUGAAACCUAUCCCUGUCACGGCCUUCCUGUUUCUAUGAUGUAUCGUUUACUUUGCUCUAAGGUUAGGUAGCAUUGUAUUUUGGUCAAAUACAUGCACUCAAUUUCAAUUAUAAUCUGGAAAAGUAACCAUUUCUUUUUUUAACUUUAGAAGUUUCUGUUUUAGAAUUUAGACCUCCAGCAGCCUGGACCAGUGUGUGCAGUAUUGCUUCUGCCGAAACUGUAAUUUCUCUCAACCACUUUAUGGCUUUUCUCAUCAACCAUCAUUCAGAGUUGCAGGUCAAUAGUUUUCCAUAGUAGUUCAAAUUGUGAAGGGUAGUUUUGCUGCAGGUGGGGGUAUUUCAUGGCACAACAUGCAAAAUAUUUUCCAAUGAUUUGGAUCAAUGAUCAUGGAAACAAGCAAAUAGGCUUAUAAUGGUCUUUUCAUUUAUUAAUUUGUAAAGGUUAGUUGGAUUUUCUGCUAUAAGUCAUACUGCAGAUAAAAGAAAGAAAUGACUGCAGAUAUUUGUUAUGGCUUUGGUUACUUGUAUUAUCAUCUUUAAUAAUGAUUAAUAAUGAUGCUUUGACUCUGCAUCGAGCUAUCGUUGGAAA